AGUGAACGCUGGCGGUAGGCCUAACACAUGCAAGUCGAACGGCAGCACAGUAAGAGCUUGCUCUUACGGGUGGCGAGUGGCGGACGGGUGAGGAAUACAUCGGAAUCUACUUUUUCGUGGGGGAUAACGUAGGGAAACUUACGCUAAUACCGCAUACGACCUACGGGUGAAAGCAGGGGAUCUUCGGACCUUGCGCGAUUGAAUGAGCCGAUGUCGGAUUAGCUAGUUGGCGGGGUAAAGGCCCACCAAGGCGACGAUCCGUAGCUGGUCUGAGAGGAUGAUCAGCCACACUGGAACUGAGACACGGUCCAGACUCCUACGGGAGGCAGCAGUGGGGAAUAUUGGACAAUGGGCGCAAGCCUGAUCCAGCCAUACCGCGUAGGUGAAGAAGGCCUUCGGGUUGUAAAGCCCUUUUGUUGGGGAAGAAAAGCAGCAGGUGAAUACCCCGCUGUUCUGACGGUACCCAAAGAAUAAGCACCGGCUAACUUCGUG
rnacentral:rRNA from 1 species